rnacentral:rRNA from 1 species
UACAGAGGGUGCAAGCGUUGCUCGGAAUCACUGGGCGUAAAGGGCGUGUAGGCGGGCAGGUAAGUCGGGCGUGAAAUCCCUGGGCUCAACCCAGGAACUGCACUCGAAACUACUUGUCUUGAGUGUCGGAGAGGAAAGCGGAAUUCCUGGUGUAGAGGUGAAAUUCGUAGAUAUCGGGAGGAACACCAGUGGCGAAGGCGGCGACCUGGGCCAAGAUUGGACGCUGAGGUGCGAAAAGCGUGGGGAGCAAACAGG